CCUACGGGUGGCAGCAGUGAGGAAUAUUGGUCAAUGGGCGCGAGCCUGAACCAGCCAAGUAGCGUGAAGGAUGACUGCCCUACGGGUUGUAAACUUCUUUUAUAAAGGAAUAAAGUGAGGCACGUGUGCCUUUUUGUCUGUACUUUAUGAAUACGGAUCGGCUAACUCCGUGCCAGCAGCCGCGGUAAUACGGAGGAUCCGAGCGUUAUCCGGAUUUAUUGUGUGUAAAGGGAGCGUAGAUGGGUUGUUAAGUCAGUUGUGAAAGUUUGCGGCUCAACCGGAAAAUUGCAAUUGAUACUGGCAGUCUUGAGUACAGUAGAGGUGGGCGGAAUUCGUGGUGUAGCGGUGAAAUGCGUAGAUAUCACGAAGAACUCCGAUUGCGAAGGCAGCUUACGAGACUGCCACUGACAUUGAGGCUCGAAAGUGUGGGGAUCAAACAGGAGUAGAUACCCCGGUAGUC
rnacentral:rRNA from 1 species